UACGGGGGGAGCAAGCGUUGUUCGGAUUUACUGGGCGUAAAGGGCGCGUAGGCGGUCAGCACAAGUCAAUUGUGAAAUCUCCGAGCUUAACUCGGAAAGGUCAACUGAAACUGUGCGACUAGAGUGCGGAAGGGGCAACUGGAAUUCCCGGUGUAGCGGUGAAAUGUGUAGAGAUCGGGAGGAACACCGGUGGCGAAGGCGGGUCUCUGGGCAAUUCCUGACGCUGAGGCGCGAAAGCGUGGGGAGCAAACGGG
rnacentral:rRNA from 1 species